GUAAGACUGGGAAGGUGGACAGCAUUCUGGUGCCUGAGCUCACUGUGGAGGUGGAGGUGAGUCUGUCUGGGUCACGGCAUCAAACUGUGCACCAGCACCGGAAACAUCUACAAAUAUUAUGGCUUCAAAGACACUGACCUUGAGAAGAUCUCAGAGUACUUCAAAGCCAACUAAAAAAUGGAGCUGAUUGAGAAAGAUAUGUGUGUGAAGGGCUGGAACUGGGGCACUGCUAAAUUUAAUGGGCCAUUGCUUUCAUUUGAGGUGAAUGACAGUCCUGCGUUUGAGACUCCACUCGCCAGUGUAUCCCAGUGUGCGACUGGAAAGAAUGAGGUCUCUGUGGAGUUUCAUCAGAAUGAUGACACAGAGCUGUUCCUCAUGGAGGUGCGCUUCUAUGUCCCAGCCACCACAGGAGACGAGGGUGUGUGUGCGCCACUACCUGACAGUGACCAACAGAUGGCAGAGUUUACAAAACACCAGUUCAAGCCUAAAGUAAAAUCUUUUGGAUCCGUAAAGCCCACUUAAACUGGAAAAUAAUAAGCUCCCAGUACUAUUCACUGCUGUUUCAGGCAUUUGCUCAGAACAUUCUGUCAAAGGUACGAUAUUCGUAUUUAUCUGACGUUCCUCCAUCUGCAUGGUGAGACGUAAGACAUAGACCACAGUGCUCCACCUUUUCCUGUUGUCUCAUAAGGACCAGUGGCAGAUGUUCUUUGUGGACGAGGAUAUCAGCCUCACUCUCAACAGGAAUGAGUGAGUUAAAGCGAGAGAGACAGAGAAUAAGGUACACCGGUGAAGGAUGAGAUGAAUGUCAAAAAUAAACUGUUUACUUUUGCUGCCAAGAAUA